rnacentral:tRNA from 1 species
UAGCUUAGUUGGUUGGAGCGUGGUGCUGAUAAUAGCAAGGCCGCGGGUUCGAUCCCCGC